rnacentral:rRNA from 1 species
GUAUGGUGCAAGCGUUAUCCGGAUUUACUGGGUGUAAAGGGAGCGUAGACGGAGUGGCAAGUCUGAUGUGAAAACCCGGGGCUCAACCCCGGGACUGCAUUGGAAACUGUCAAUCUAGAGUACCGGAGAGGUAAGCGGAAUUCCUAGGGUAGCGGUGAAAUGCGUAGAUAUUAGGAGGAACACCAGUGGCGAAGGCGGCUUACUGGACGGUAACUGACGUUGAGGCUCGAAAGCGUGGGGAGCAAACAGGAUUAGAUACCCUGGUAGUCCACGCCGUAAACGAUGACUACUAGGUGUCGGGCAGCAAAGCUGUUCGGUGCCGCAGCAAACGCAAUAAGUAGUCCACCUGGGGAGUACGUUCGCAAGAAUG